GCCACCACCAGUCCACAAGCCGCCACCAGAACACAAGCCACCACCAGUCCACAAGCCACCUCCAGUCCACAAGCCACCACCACACUACCCCUAUGCAUCUCCACCUCCUCCCCACCACUACUAGACUAUGCACGCAGUUUCAUACAUAUUUUCAAGGGAAGGAAUGCGACAAUAAAGAAAGAGAUUGAAGAGAAAGAAAGCGAGUUUCCGCGAUUGUUGUAGGAUAUUCUCUCUCUUUUUAGAAGAAGGAAUAAAGGCGUGCAUGUUUUAGGAUAAAAGUGUGCAAUCAUUUCAUGUAUUGGAUAAAUUGCAGCUACUGGUCCUGUUGAAAACAAUUUAUAUUAUAUUUGUACCUUUCAAUCUGUUAUCAAAUGAAGUGUUUGUUAUAUUUACCAAAAUAAAAUACAUUUCUUUAAAUUAAAA
rnacentral:misc_RNA from 1 species